rnacentral:rRNA from 1 species
GUUUUCAUGUAAGUAUAUGAAAUUGUACCUGCUCACUGAAUAUUAAAGAGCCGCGGUAAUUUGACCGUGCAAAGGUAGCAUAAUCAUUAGUCUUUUAAUUGGAGGCUGGAAUGAAUGGUUUGACGAAAUAACAUCUGUCUUGUUAUGAAGGAUUGAAUUUUACUUUUAAGUUAAAAGGCUUAAAUUUUGGAAGGGGACGAGAAGACCCUAUAGAUCUUUAUAAGUAUAAAAUUUUAUGUUGGAUGGUAAGUUUAAUGUGGAAAUGAAUGUAAGAAUUAAUACUUAUUUUGUUGGGGUGACAGAAGAAUAUAAUAACUUCUUUUAAUAUGUACUUUAAUGAAUGGAUAUAUGAUCUUUUAUUAUGGAAUUAAGAUUAAGAUACCUUAGGGAUAACAGCGUAAUUUUAUUUGAGAGUUCUUAUUGACAAUAAAGAUUGCGACCUCGAUGUUGGAUUAAGAUUAUAUGUUAAUGUAGUAGUUAACUGUAUUGGUCUGUUCGACCAUUAAAUUCUUACA